rnacentral:rRNA from 1 species
GUAGGGAAUAUUGCGCAAUGGACGAAAGUCUGACGCAGCGACGCCGCGUGAGUGAUGAAGGCCUUAGGGUCGUAAAGCUCUGUUGAAUGGGAAGAAAAAAAUGACGGUACCAUUCGAGGAAGGACCGGCUAACUUCGUGCCAGCAGCCGCGGUAAUACGAGGGGUCCUAGCGUUGUUCGGAAUCAUUGGGCGUAAAGGGUGUGUAGGUGGCCAUGUAAGUCAGGUGUGAAAGCCCCGGGCUCAACCCGGGAAGUGCACUUGAUACUGCGUGGCUUGAGUACCGAAGAGGGUAGUGGAAUUCCAGGUGUAGUGGUGAAAUGCAUAGAUACCAUCAGGAACACCGAUAGCGAAGGCAUUGUACUGGCCGACAACUGACGCUGAUGCACGAAAGUGUGGGGAUCGAACAGGAUUAGAUACCCUGGUAGUCC